CUGCUGCCUUCCGUAGGAGUUUGGACCGUGUCUCAGUUCCAAUGUGGGGGACCUUCCUCUCAGAACCCCCUACGCAUCGUCGGCUUGGUGGGCCGUUGCCCCCACCAACUACCUAAUGCGCCGCAUGCCCAUCCGUGACCGGAGUCGCCCCCUUUGGCCGGAAAGGGAUGUCCCUUCCCGGCGUCAUGCUGUAUUAGGCGGGAUUUCUCCCGGUUAUCCAUCUGUCACGGCCAGGUUGCAUACGUGUUACUCACCCGUGCGCCGGUCGCCGG
rnacentral:rRNA from 1 species